ACACAAGAACUAGGAUAUUGGAUUUGAUUUAAAGUUCUCCUGGCUCAGCAUCCUGCUCGUGACAGCAACCCGUGAAGAGUCAGCCUGUUUGGAGACGUCGCCCGUGAUGAGUGAUUUCCAGAAACACCAACUCAGUGAAGUCAUGGAACAACAGUGAAGGUUAACUGUCCAAAGGACUUGUGGUUAAAGGAUUACGUAUGCUGUUCUGCUGGAAAUGUUAGUGUGUUGAUCAAGUCAACAGUCUUGCAGCCUCUAUGUGUAGCACAGCAUGAUCUUGGAUAUCAUCAGCAAAGAAUGUGAGCUCCUCCCAGAAAAGAAUUUGCCUUCCAGCCAUGAAAAUGCAAGUGACCACGGAUGGUGAGAGAAGUCAUGCAGAACUGGUGGCUAUGUUCUACUCCUUUUCCCAGCAGUCCAUCAUUUUCCUGCAU